rnacentral:tRNA from 5 species
GCCCAUGUAGCUCAGCUGGAUAGAGCAACCGCCUCCUAAGCGGUAGGUCGCAGGUUCGAAUCCUGCCUUGGGCGCCA